rnacentral:rRNA from 1 species
AACGAACGCUGGCGGCAGGCCUAACACAUGCAAGUCGAACGCCCCGCAAGGGGAGUGGCAGACGGGUGAGUAACGCGUGGGAACAUACCCUUUUCUAAGGAAUAGCUCUGGGAAACUGGAAUUAAUACCGUAUACGCCCUACGGGGGAAAGAUUUAUCGGGGAAGGAUUGGCCCGCGUUGGAUUAGCUAGUUGGUGGGGUAAAGGCCUACCAAGGCGACGAUCCAUAGCUGGUCUGAGAGGAUGAUCAGCCACAUUGGGACUGAGACACGGCCCAAACUCCUACGGGAGGCAGCAGUGGGGAAUAUUGGACAAUGGGCGCAAGCCUGAUCCAGCCAUGCCGCGUGAGUGAUGAAGGCCUUAGGGUUGUAAAGCUCUUUCACCGAUGAAGAUAAUGACGGUAGUCGGAGAAGAAGCCCCGGCUAACUUCGUGCCAGCCGCCGCGGUAAGAC